rnacentral:tRNA from 1 species
GGACAGGUGGCCGAGUGGUUUAAGGCGCUCCCCUGCUAAGGGAGUGAGGGGGAAACUCCUCCGUGGGUUCGAAUCCCAUCCUGUCCGCCA